CAGCGCCCCAAGUGGCAAUCACGAUUAUUGGGCCUAAAGCGUUCGUAGCCGGUUUGGUAAAUCCUUUGUGAAAUCGUCGGGCUUAACCUGACGGCGUGCAGGGGAGACUGCCAGACUAGGGACCGGGAGGAGUCAGAGGUAUGCCGUGGGGACCGGUAAAAUGGGAUAAUCCACGGUAGACCACCGAUGGCGAAGGCAUCUGACCAGAACGGAUCCGACGGUGAGGAACGAAAGCCAGGGGAGCGAACCGGAUUAGAUACCCGAGUAGUCC
rnacentral:rRNA from 1 species